UACAGAGACUGCAAGCGUUUAUUCGGAUUCACUGGGCGUAAAGGGUGCGCAGGUGGCCAGGUGUGUGAGGCGUGAAAGCCCGGGGCUUAACCCCGGAAUUGCACCUCAAACUACUUGGCUAGAGCAUUGGAGAGGGGAGCAGAAUUCAUGGUGUAGCAGUGAAAUGCGUAGAUAUCAUGAGGAUACCAGAGGCGAAGGCGGCUCCCUGGACAAUUUGCUGACACUCAGGCACGAAAGCGUGGGGAGCAAAAGGG
rnacentral:rRNA from 1 species